rnacentral:rRNA from 1 species
GACGAACGCUGGCGGCGUGCUUAACACAUGCAAGUCGAGCGGAGCGGCGAACGGGUGAGUAACGCGUGAGUAACUGCCCCCCUCUCUGGGAUAACAGUUGGACACGGCUGCUAAUACCGGAAAGUGGGGGAUGACGCACGUCCUCUCAGCUGGUUGGUGGGGUAGUGGCCUACCAAGGCGACGACGGGUAGCCGGCCUGAGAGGGCGACCGGCCACAUUGGGCUGAGAUACGGCCCAAACGGCGACGGGAGGCAGGAGGGGGGAAUAUUGCGCAAUAGGGCAAGCCCUGAUGCAGCAACGCGCGUGCGGAAUGACGGCCUUCGGGUUGUAAACCGCUUUCAGCCAUGACGCGGUACUGGAAGAGGAAGCAACGGCUAACUACGUGCCAGCAGCCGCGGUAAUAC